rnacentral:rRNA from 1 species
AUUGAACGCUGGCGGCAGGCCUAACACAUGCAAGUCGAGCGAGUGGCGGACGUGUGAGUAAUGUCUGGGAACCUGCCUGAUGGAGAGUGAUAACUACUGGAAACGGUAGCUAAUACCGCCUACCAUCGGAUGUGCCCAUAUGGGAUUAGCUGGUUGGUGGGGUAAAGGCUCACCAAGGCGACGAUCCCUAGCUGGUCUGAGAGGAUGAUCAGUCACACUGGAACUGAGACACGGUCCAGACUCCUACGGGAGGCAGCAGUGGGGAAUAUUGCACAAUGGGCGCAAGCCUGAUACAGCCAUGCCGCGUGUAUGAAGAAGGCCUUCGGGUUGUAAAGUACUUUCAGCGGGGAGGCGUUACCCGCAGAAGAAGCACCGGCUAACUCCGUGCCAGCCGCCGCGGUAAUAC